rnacentral:rRNA from 1 species
GAUGAACGCUGGCGGCGUGCCUAAUACAUGCAAGUCGAGCGAACAGACGAGGAGCUUGCUCCUCUGACGUUAGCGGCGGACGGGUGAGUAACACGUGGAUAACCUACCUAUAAGACUGGGAUAACUUCGGGAAACCGGAGCUAAUACCGGAUAAUAUAUUGAACCGCAUGGUUCAAUAGUGAAAGACGGUUUUGCUGUCACUUAUAGAUGGAUCCGCGCCGCAUUAGCUAGUUGGUAAAGUAACGGCUUACCAAGGCAACGAUGCGUAGCCGACCUGAGAGGGUGAUCGGCCACACUGGAACUGAGACACGGUCCAGACUCCUACGGGAGGCAGCAGUAGGGAAUCUUCCGCAAUGGGCGAAAGCCUGACGGAGCAACGCCGCGUGAGUGAUGAAGGUCUUUGGAUCGUAAAACUCUGUUAUUAGGGAAGAACAAAUGUGUAAGUAACUAUGCACGUCUUGACGGUACCUAAUCAGAAAGCCACGGCUAACUACGUG